CUUGACCUCAUUUUCUUGAAUCAUGUUACGUUUAUAUGAUACUUGUAGUAAAGCAUUUUAUUUAGGACUAUCAGCAUAAAAUCAUUGGUCAGUAAACACCGUGUAGAACGCCACAUGCGGGGUGUCGGCUAUGUUUGACAUGGGGUGGCAAUUUCGAAGCGAAGAAAAACUAACAAGAGGCUUUUGGAUGAAAACGUCACGGUCAAGUGGCAUAUAUCCCGACCAUGAGGCGGACAUGACGACACGAAAACUUUCUGACAAACAACAGACAACAACAAAUGGCAUUAUAAUUCCAAGGGAUCAUGAAUUUGACCUUCUAGCCAGAGGAACAAGAAAACGAAGGAUUAAAAUUGGAGAAAUAUCAGGUCCAAUGGCUCCAGCUCGAGGUGCACUAUCGGUUCCUCAGUACCACCGAAAGGACGAAUCAAAAAUUCUGCCAACAAAACGUUUGGGAAUAGAUCUCAAAGACAUAUAAGACACAUACUUUGAUUGAAAUCAUAUAUUUUUAUUUGUAACAACUCAUUCUGAGCAUUAUUUAUAGUAACAAAUAACAAAAAAUAUAACAAAAAUGUGUUGUUUUCAUUGAAAACUGAUUAAGAAAAGUAAAAUAAUAUGAAUGAAAUCAAAAUAAAAAACAUAGUUCACAUCUGAAUGCUACCUGCAUACAGUAUAAUAUAAAUAUCAAUAUAAAUUAUAUUAGCAAGGGGUUAUAUUAGCAAGGGACAAUACUCUUAUUAAAGUGAUUGAUAGAA